UGGGACAAUCUCUAGGUGGCCUUCCUUC
rnacentral:piRNA from 1 species